GCCCAAUAGCUAGCCCAACCCCCUAAAGCAAAACAAUCCCUAUUUAUAACCCCUUAUGCAUUAGACAUAAAAAACAAACCAUUUUACCCUCUUAGUAUGGGAGACAGAAAAGAGACGCUGGCGCUAUAAAGAAAGUACCGCAAGGGAAAGCUGAAAGAGAAAUGAAAUAACUCAGUUUAAAGCUCGAAGAAGCAGAGACUAAACCUCGUACUU
rnacentral:rRNA from 1 species